rnacentral:rRNA from 1 species
CGACAGCAAUAUGAAGGUCAGGCUGAAGACCUUACCGGAUUAGCUGAGAGGUGGUGCAUGGCCGUCGUCAGUUCGUACUGUGAAGCAUCCUGUUAUAUCAGGCAACGAGCGAGACCCACGUCCACAGUUGCCAGCAUACCCUCCGGGGUGAUGGGUACACUGUGGAGACCGCCGCUGCUAAAGCGGAGGAAGGAAUGGGCAACGGUAGGUCAGUAUGCCCCGAAUCUCCCGGGCUACACGCGGGCCACAAUGGUUGGUACAAUGGGCAUCUACCCCGAAAGGGGAAGGAAAUCUCUUAAAGCCAAUCGUAGUUCGGAUUGAGGGCUGCAACUCGCCCUCAUGAAGCUGGAAUCCGUAGUAAUCGCGUUUCAACAGAACGCGGUGAAUACGUCCCUGCUCCUUGCACACACCGCCCGUCAAACCACCCGAGUAGGGUCUGGAUGAGGGUGUGUUACCUUGACACUAUUCGAAUCUG